rnacentral:rRNA from 1 species
ACUCUAAGCGGUGGAUCACUCGGCUCAUGGGUCGAUGAAGAACGCAGCAAACUGUGCGUCAUCGUGUGAACUGCAGGACACAUGAACAUCGACAUUUUGAACGCAUAUCGCAGUCCAUGCUGUUAUGUACUUUAAUUAAUUUUAUAGUGCUGCUUGGACUACAUAUGGUUGAGGGUUGUAAGACUAUGCUAAUUAAGUUGCUUAUAAAUUUUUAUAAGCAUAUGGUAUAUUAUUGGAUAAAUAUAAUAAUUUUUAUUCAUAAUAUUAAAAAAUAAAUGAAAAACAUUAUCUCACAUUUGAAUGUGAAAAACGAAGAGAAAUAUUUUCUUUUUCAAUCAAAUAAUACUGAGAAAUGUCUAGCAUAAAAAAUUGAAAUAUUUUUCAUCUAGAAUUGUCUCUUAUUAAUGAUUCGGAAAUAGAAAAAUCUUGGUUAUGUUAUUAUUCUUCGUUGGUUCGUUAAAAAUGGAUAAAUAAAAACUUUGCAUACAAGAAUUAAUAAAAAUGUUAUAACGAAUUUAAUUAAAUGUUUUAUCAUUAUAUAUAAAGAAUUUAUGGCAAGAUAAAGUUAUAUACAACCUCAACUCAUAUGGGACUACCCCCUGAAUUUAAGCAUAUUAAUUAGGGGAGGAAAAGAAACUAACAAGGAUUUUCUUAGUAGCGGCGAGCGAAAAGAAAACAGUUCAGCACUAAGUCACUUUGUCUAUAUGGCAAAUGUGAGAUGCAGUGUAUGGAGCGUCAAUAUUCUAGUAUGAGAAAUUAACGAUUUAAGUCCUUCUUAAAUGAGGCCAUUUACCCAUAGAGGGUGCCAGGCCCGUAUAACGUUAAUGAUUACUAGAUGAUGUUUCCAAAGAGUCGUGUUGCUUGAUAGUGCAGCACUAAGUGGGUGGUAAACUCCAUCUAAAACUAAAUAUAACCAUGAGACCGAUAGUAAACAAGUACCGUGAGGGAAAGUUGAAAAGAACUCUGAAUAGAGAGUUAAACAGUACGUGAAACUGCUUAGAGGUUAAGCCCGAUGAACCUGAAUAUCCGUUAUGGAAAAUUCAUCAUUAAAAUUGUAAUAUUUAAAUAAUAUUAUGAGAAUAGUGUGCAUUUUUCCAUAUAAGGACAUUGUAAUCUAUUAGCAUAUACCAAAUUUAUCAUAAAAUAUAACUUAUAGUUUAUUCCAAUUAAAUUGCUUGCAUUUUAACACAGAAUAAAUGUUAUUAAUUUGAUAAAGUGCUGAUAGAUUUAUAUGAUUACAGUGCGUUAAUUUUUCGGAAUUAUAUAAUGGCAUAAUUAUCAUUGAUUUUUGUGUUUAUUAUAUGCACUUGUAUGAUUAACAAUGCGAAAGAUUCAGGAUACCUUCGGGACCCGUCUUGAAACACGGACCAAGGAGUCUAACAUAUGUGCAAGUUAUUGGGAUAUAAACCUAAUAGCGUAAUUAACUUGACUAAUAAUGGGAUUAGUUUUUUAGCUAUUUAUAGCUAAUUAACACAAUCCCGGGGCGUUCUAUAUAGUUAUGUAUAAUGUAUAUUUAUAUUAUUUAUGCCUCUAACUGGAACGUACCUUGAGCAUAUAUGCUGUGACCCGAAAGAUGGUGAACUAUACUUGAUCAGGUUGAAGUCAGGGGAAACCCUGAUGGAAGACCGAAACAGUUCUGACGUGCAAAUCGAUUGUCAGAAUUGAGUAUAGGGGCGAAAGACCAAUCGAACCAUCUAGUAGCUGGUUCCUUCCGAAGUUUCCCUCAGGAUAGCUGGUGCAUUUUAAUAUUAUAUAAAAUAAUCUUAUCUGGUAAAGCGAAUGAUUAGAGGCCUUAGGGUCGAAACGAUCUUAACCUAUUCUCAAACUUUAAAUGGGUAAGAACCUUAACUUUCUUGAUAUGAAGUUCAAGGUUAUGAUAUAAUGUGCCCAGUGGGCCACUUUUGGUAAGCAGAACUGGCGCUGUGGGAUGAACCAAACGUAAUGUUACGGUGCCCAAAUUAACAACUCAUGCAGAUACCAUGAAAGGCGUUGGUUGCUUAAAACAGCAGGACGGUGAUCAUGGAAGUCGAAAUCCGCUAAGGAGUGUGUAACAACUCACCUGCCGAAGCAACUAGCCCUUAAAAUGGAUGGCGCUUAAGUUGUAUACCUAUACAUUACCGCUAAAGUAGAUGAUUUAUAUUACUUGUGAUAUAAAUUUUGAAACUUUAGUGAGUAGGAAGGUACAAUGGUAUGCGUAGAAGUGUUUGGCGUAAGCCUGCAUGGAGCUGCCAUUGGUACAGAUCUUGGUGGUAGUAGCAAAUAAUCGAAUGAGACCUUGGAGGACUGAAGUGGAGAAGGGUUUCGUGUGAACAGUGGUUGAUCACGAGUUAGUCGGUCCUAAGUUCAAGGCGAAAGCCGAAAAUUUUCAAGUAAAACAAAAAUGCCUAACUAUAUAAACAAAGCGAAUUAUAAUACACUUGAAUAAUUUUGAACGAAAGGGAAUACGGUUCCAAUUCCGUAACCUGUUGAGUAUCCGUUUGUUAUUAAAUAUGGGCCUCGUGCUCAUCCUGGCAACAGGAACGACCAUAAAGAAGCCGUCGAGAGAUAUCGGAAGAGUUUUCUUUUCUGUUUUAUAGCCGUACUACCAUGGAAGUCUUUCGCAGAGAGAUAUGGUAGAUGGGCUAGAAGAGCAUGACAUAUACUGUUGUGUCGAUAUUUUCUCCUCGGACCUUGAAAAUUUAUGGUGGGGACACGCAAACUUCUCAACAGGCCGUACCAAUAUCCGCAGCUGGUCUCCAAGGUGAAGAGUCUCUAGUCGAUAGAAUAAUGUAGGUAAGGGAAGUCGGCAAAUUAGAUCCGUAACUUCGGGAUAAGGAUUGGCUCUGAAGAUUGAGAUAGUCGGGCUUGAUUGGGAAACAAUAACAUGGUUUAUGUGCUCGUUCUGGGUAAAUAGAGUUUCUAGCAUUUAUGUUAGUUACUUGUUCCCCGGAUAGUUUAGUUACGUAGCCAAUUGUGGAACUUUCUUGCUAAAAUUUUUAAGAAUACUAUUUGGGUUAAACCAAUUAGUUCUUAUUAAUUAUAACGAUUAUCAAUUAACAAUCAAUUCAGAACUGGCACGGACUUGGGGAAUCCGACUGUCUAAUUAAAACAAAGCAUUGU